rfam:Aspergillus rambellii strain SRRC1468 contig00029, whole genome shotgun sequence.
GCCCCUGUAGCGCAAUGGUAGCGCGUAAGACUUCUACUAGCAAUUCAUCCGGUUGCUUAAGAGAUCUUAAGGUUGCGGGUUCGACCCCCGCCAGGGGUU